CUGAUAUUUGAUUGACUUAUUGGGUUUUUUUUAUAAUAUUUUUAUUGUGGCUGAUAUUCUGUAAAUAAAUAUAAUAAUUCAUAAAAAAAAAUAACCAAUAUUCUGAACAGUAUGAUAACGUAUUUUGAAAUAAGCCCCGCCUUCCUUCUAACCUUAUAUGGAACAUACACGGUCUUCACACGGACGCAUUUGACCAAUCAUAUUCCUAGAAAUGUAGAGGAGGUAAAAUAAUAACCGAUAUUCUGAACAUUAGCAUGAUAAGUGAUCAAAUGAUUGUUGCAUUUAAUAAAUAAGCAUGAUAAUGGAUCGACUGAUGGUUAAUGUGUUGUCAAUACGUAGCCUCUUGAUAAACUGUUACUUAUAUUCUGUAAAUAAACAUUCUGAUAAUUGAUCAAAUUAGCACUGGUAUUCCGCACUUAUAGAAGUAUAAACUUUUAUUAUCAUGUAAUGAGUGAUAUUAUGUAUAUUAGCACGAUAGUUGAUCAAUGAUGGCUGACAUUCUGCCAAUAUGAAUAACAAUUGUUCAGACUUUAUUUGGACAUUAUGAAAGAUAAUGGAUCAUCUGAUAGUUCAUUUUAGAUUUAAAAAA
rnacentral:lncRNA from 1 species